rnacentral:rRNA from 1 species
GAGGGGAGUGAAAAGAAUCUGAAACUGUAUGCUUACAAAAAGUCAGAGGGCGUUAAAGCCUGAUGACGUGCCUAUUGAAGAAUGAGCCGGCGAGUUAUGUUAUCGUGCGAGGUUAAGUCGAAGAGACGGAGCCGAAGCGAAAGCGAGUCUAAAGAGGGCUACAGUACGAUGACAUAGACCCGAAACCCGACGAUCUAGCCAUGAGCAGGAUGAAGGUGGGGUACAACCCACUGGAGGUCCGAACCGACGUUCGUUGAAACGCCCGCGGAUGACUUGUGGCUCGCGGUGAAAUUCCAAUCGAGUUGGGUUAUAGCUGGUUCUCCCCGAAAUAGCUUUAGGGCUAGCCUCAGGGUUAGCUACUUGCUGGUAGAGCACUGAAUGAUAGAUGGCCGCGUCUAGCGGUACUGAUAUCAAUCAAACUCCGAAUAGUGAGAUAGUAUACCUGGGAGUCAGUCUGUGGGAGAUAAGUUCCAUGGACAAGAGGAAAAGAGUCCAGACCGCCAAAUAAGGUCCCAAAAUCUAUACUAAGUGUAAAAGGAUGUAGAGAUGCAUAGACAACUAGGAUGUUGGCUCAGAAGCAGCCAUCAUUUAAAGAGUGCGUAACAGCUCACUAGUCGAGUGCCUCCGCGCCGAAAAUUUACCGGGGCUAAGUAUAGUACCGAAGUUGCGGAUUUGAGAAAAUGGUAGGGGAGCGUUCCAUCAUCGGCGAAGCGAUACCGAAAGGAGUCGUGGAGAGGAUGGAAGUGAGAAUGCCGGUGUAAGUAACGAUAUUGGGUGAGAAUCCCAAUCACCAUUAGACUAAGGUUUCCUGGGGAAGGUUCGUCCGCCCAGGGUAAGUCGGGACCUAAGGCGAGGCUGAGAAGCGUAGUCGAUGGACGACAGGUUGAUAUUCCUGUACCCGUAUAUAAGUGAAGUAAUGACAGAGAAGGCUAGAUCGGCUACCUAAUGGAUGGUAGUACAAGCGAGAUAGCAGGUGCAAAGGCAAAUCCGUGCACAGAAUGCAAGGCGUGAAGUGGAGCGAACGAGCAAUCAAGUAGCGAAGCGAUUGAUGCCAGCUUUCAAGAAAAGUUGCUAACGUAAUUAUAUGCGGCCCGUACCGAGAACGGACACACGUGGUCAAGGAGAGUAUCCUAAGGUGAGCGAGUGAACUGUUGUUAAGGAACUCUGCAAAAUUACUUCGUAAGUUCGCAAGAAGAAGUGCUACAGCGAUGUAGCCGCAGUGAAGAGGCCCAAGUAACUGUUUAACAAAAACACAGCUUUAUGCUAAGUCGUAAGACGAUGUAUAUGAGGUGAUGCCUGCCCAGUGCUGGAAGGUUAAAAGGAGAUGUGGUCCGCAAGGAGAAGCAUUGAUCUGAAGCCCCAGUGAACGGCGGCCGUAACUAUAACGGUCCUAAGGUAGCGAAAUUCCUUGUCGGGUAAGUUCCGACGCGCAUGAAUGGUAUAAUAAUUUGGGCGCUGUCUCGACAGCAGACUCGGUGAAAUCUUAAUACCUGUGAACAUGCAGGUUACCCGCGACUAGACGGAGAGACCCCAUGGAGCUUUACUAUAGCUUAAUAUUGAAUAGUUGAAAAUCCUGUACAGGAUAGGUAGGAGACAAUGAAGUUUGUGCGUCAGCAUGAAUGGAGUCAACGGUGGGAUACUACUCUUGAUUUUCGAUUGUUCUAACUUAGAAUCAAAACGGGUUCGAGGACAGUGUUAGGUGGGUAGUUUGACUGGGGCGGUCGCCUCCUAAAGAGUAACGGAGGCGCCCCAAGGUACCCUCAGUAUGGUUGGAAAUCAUACAACGAGUGCAAAGGCAUAAGGGUGCUUGACUGCGAGACCUACAAGUCGAGCAGGGACGAAAGUCGGGCUUAGUGAUCCGGCGGUUCCGAGUGGAAGGGCCGUCGCUCAACGGAUAAAAGCUACCCUGGGGAUAACAGGCUGAUCGCGUCCAAGAGUUCACAUCGACGACGCGGUUUGGCACCUCGAUGUCGGCUCAUCGCAUCCUGGAGGGGAAGUACCUUCCAAGGGUAUGGCUGUUCGCCAUUUAAAGCGGUACGCGAGCUGGGUUCAAAACGUCGUGAGACAGUUUGGUCCCUAUCUGUCGUGGGCGUAGGAAGUUUGAAAGGAGCUGUCCCUAGUACGAGAGGACCGGGAUGGACAUAGCAAUGGUACACCAGUUGUCACGCCAGUGGCACAGCUGGGUAGCUACCUAUGGAUCGGAUAAACGCUGAAAGCAUCUAAGCGCGAAGCCGUCCUUAAGAUAAGACUUCCCAUUCGCAAGAAGUAAGAUCCCUUCAAAGUUAGGAGGUUGA